GCCAAACAAAAUCUUUGACUUUGGAGGGAGGGUAGAAUUCCAUAAUUUAAGCCAUGGCCCAUCGACGACAACAUAACGGGUACUCUCAAACAUAUUAAAGGCGAGACGGUAGGCAGACUUAACGGUGUAAAUACCAUGCUUCUCAUAAUGCCAAAUAAGCCUAUCACGAGUGUGGAAUAAACUAACCGGUAUUUGAAGAGUACGAAUGAUGUCUGAUGGAACCAUCAAGCCGUCGAU
rnacentral:lncRNA from 1 species